UGUGACCUACGGGGCGCAGCAGUGGGGAAUAUUGCACAAUGGGGGAAACCCUGAUGCAGCAACGCCGCGUGAAGGAAGACGGUUUUCGGAUUGUAAACUUCUGUUCUUAGUGAAGAAUAAUGACGGUAGCUAAGGAGCAAGCCACGGCUAACUACGUGCCAGCAGCCGCGGUAAUACGUAGGUGGCAAGCGUUGUCCGGAGUUACUGGGUGUAAAGGGUGCGUAGGUGGCAGGGCAAGUCAGAUGUGAAAGCCCGGGGCUCAACCCCGGUACUGCAUUUGAAACUGUCCAGCUGGAGUGCAGGAG
rnacentral:rRNA from 1 species